GAUGGAGUGGGAUUGGGGUGGGAUGGACGGAGCAGGAUCAGGAGGGAUUCCGGAGCAUUUCCUACUCUCCCAGGGCUCCACAGCCAGAUCCAUCCCCUGGGAUGGGAACAGGGACAUGGUGACUCCUUUCCCCGCUCUCAUCCCAGCAGGAAUCACAGCCUGAACGAUCCUGGAGCUGGAUCCGCCCCUUCCCUCUCCAUGCGGAAAGGCAGGAGCUGCUGGUAGAGCUCAUCCCGCUGCUCCCACCCACCCCGGCCCCCCUGCGUCUAUUCCUGAUGGAUCAACUUCCUGCUUUUUCCUGUGUGAACCUGUCAGAGACUGAAACAGUCAAUGAUUUCUGCAUUCUGGGGUUGCCAGGAGGCUUUUUGCGGCUUUUGCAGGACUUUGGCAUUAUCCCUCUGAUGGGCAGCUGGGCCCAUCUCCCCCUCCAGUGCUGCUGAAGGUGUCAAGCCCUGGAAAGGAGAGAAGAGCCGAGUUUACCAGGCCCCUCACAGGAACUCUGCUCUGGGCUGUCCGAGGUGUUGGGGGUUCAUGGCAUGGCCCAUCAAAGCCCAUCCCCCCCUGCCAAUCUUGGAAGGUGGGAAAAAGCCUUUUCCCUGCCCCUCACGGGAACUCUGCACAGGCCUGGGAGACGUUGGGGGUUCGUGGCAUGGCCCGGGACACUGUCCAUGGAUAUAAUAACUCAUAACUUCCCUGAGUGUGGGGGCUUCCCUCCCUCAUCCCCAAUGGAUCAAAGUGUAAGGGGGGUACUUUUGAAUUAGAUGAUCAAUGGAGCAUAGAGGCGUGAGAAAGGAAUCAUAUUAGGAUGUGAAACCAGCCAGAGUAUGGUACAAUGGAACUUCAUGGCAGAAGCGAAUUGGAAGGUCCAUUGUGCUUUUUAGCAAGUCAGCUUGAUAUCCCCUGUUAUCAGAGCUGAGUUCUUCCUUGGUUUUGCUACAUACUGCAAGAUAGAUACAUCUACCCUUCAAACACAGUGGUAGAGGUCAUGCAUAGGGGUGAGAAAGAUGAUGAUGGGAGGAAGAUGAUGUGGGCAGGGGUCGCUGGCCCCUUGCCCUCCAAGUAGGGCAUGCACAGACUGUUGCCAUGAGGUGAUGAUCAGGAGGGGUUUGGCUGCCAUUCAGGCAUCACCUUAUACUGGGUACUGGCCCUACGUGGUGUAAUGUGGAACUGAUAAAAUGGGGUGUUGGGACUGCUGAGCUGAGCGAUCCUCAUCCUGCCACCGAGACUGUGGCUCCGCGGGGACGCCCGCUAAGCACGGGCACCGACCAGCUGCUGCAGAUCCUGACAGCCCUGGCCUGUCUGUGUGGUAAGCACAGUUUAUUGACAGGAAGCAACUGAGAGAACAAACUUUUUAAUAUCCCUUUAGUGUCACUUUAAUUCCCCUUUUAUUCUUGAAUAUUGUUACAUAAAUAAGUUGUUCACAGUAUUUCCCUUUAAUUUCCCUUUUUACUAACCAAUAUUGUGUUAAUAGUUCUCCAUAAUAUUGUGUUAAGACACCUUUUUUGGUAUCCGUUUAACCCCCUUUUUUCACUAGUUAAUACUGUAUUAAAUGCUGUUUGUAGUAUUUGUUUUUAAGGCCACACAAUAAGAUAUUUUGUAUCUUUUUUUAGUUCUUGAUUCUCUUUGUUAAGAUGAUUAUUAUUAUUAUUCUCACUGUAAUAAAAGAUAUUUUUUGUGUUUGAA